GACGAACGCUGGCGGCGUGCUUAACACAUGCAAGUCGAACGGAAAGGCCCUGCUUGCAGGGUACUCGAGUGGCGAACGGGUGAGUAACACGUGUGUGAUCUGCCCUGCACUUCGGGAUAAGCCUUGGAAACUGGGUCUAAUACCGGAUAGGAGCCAUUUUUAGUGUGAUGGUUGGAAAGUUUUUUCGGUGUAGGAUGAGCUCGGGGCCUAUCAGCUUGUUGGUGGGGUAAUGGCCUACCAAGGCGGCGACGGGUAGCCGGCCUGGCAGGGUGGACGGCAAAAUUGGGACUGGGAAACGGACCAGACUCCUACGGGAGGCAGAAGUGGGGAAUAGUGAAAAAUGGGCGCAAGCCAGAUGCAGCGACGCCGGGGGGGGGAUGACGGCCUUCGGGUUGUAAACUCCUUUCGCUAGGGACGAAGCUUUUUGUGACGGUACCUAGAUAAGAAGCACCGGCUAACUACGUG
rnacentral:rRNA from 1 species